rnacentral:lncRNA from 1 species
AUUUUCUCUCCAAAAUUUUUCUUGCACACACCCCACUCUUCUCCUCCUUUUAAAAUAAUGUCAAACGUCUUAUCCACGUGAGAGGAUAAAGAUGAGUAAUUGCACAUUUGAAUUCAAAUCAAAUUUUGAAUUCAAAUGGAAACUAAUUUAUUCCUAUCCACUAAGGGCGUGAGAAGAGGAGGGCGUGGCUUAAUUUGUGCGUGAGUGAUUUUAUGAGAAACAUUUUCUC